UGUGAGAGAGAUCAAGUGCGAUUGUGUUUGUUUAAUCACAGCGAAGAUCACUUCAGCAAGGCUGGGUUGGCUGGGAGUCUGCCAGACAUCAACAGCAUCAUCAAAGAAGCUGUCAUCCGCAUGAUAAUUGCUCCGCUGUUUAAUAUGGGCUGGAGAGUGAGAGAGCUCAUGCAAAUCAAGACGUUUUAUCCUGUUUACCGCAGCAAGUAAAUACAAGGAUGUGAGGAUUCCCCAGGGUGCCUCAGCGGUGGAUGGGGACCGACUGUCCCCACCCUGGCCCCUCUUGCUGCUCACCGAUUGGUUUGAGCCGUGUAGCGUUGAGGUCGGGGGCCCAGAAGGCCGGGGCGCUGUAGUCGUGGGGGGUACCGGUUGUCUGCAGUGUGUACAGGGCUCUGGGAGGACCAGCCUGGGUCCUCUACGGACCUCAACCACCCCACCUAGAGGAGCUGGAGGUGGGGUCGCCCCGUGGACACGCUGAGCUGCUGAGGAAACAGAUAAAUAAA
ensembl:lncRNA